GCCCCUGCCCGGUGGGCUUGGGCACCAGGACAGCACUCCUGAGAGCACGUGCUUCUCUGCGCGUGUCUCAGUUUCAGAGGGGCUGGUGUGAGAAAGGGUGGGGAGGGGCCUGCUUCUCCCAGGGGCCCCCUGAGCUCCCAGCUCAUGGAAAGCCCUUCCUUCACGCUCCCCUGCUCAGGAGGCUGUCGCCCAGCCUCCUCUCCCAGGGCCCCUCCUGGGGCUACCACCUGACCCCCCCACCCUGCCAGCAUGGCCAAGGGUGCCCCUCGCGGUAGUAUCCGGUUCCUGUCUCCCUCUAGCUGGCUGCCACUGAGGAAUCCUUCCUCCCCCCUGUGUCAUUCUGAUGGCUCAGGAGGUGGCCCCGGGACCGUGAGACCCUCUGCUACAGGCCCACAGCCAAGCGAGUGCUUGGAGCACCCCGCACCUUGGGGACACAGUCUGUGGCCAGCAAGGCCCCCGACCGUCUUCAUCGGGACCCAGAGGGGUGGCCCCUUACCUUCCUCCGCCCCUCAGCUGCCUCCAGCCGCUUCUGCAGCUCCUCCAGGGAGGUGUCCUUCCUCUUGGGGGGGGAGGAGAGCAUGGGACUCUCCGGGGACAGGUCGGAAGGGGACUUGAGGAUGACCUCAAAGCUCUGGCCGGAGGCCCUCUUGUCCAGCUGCUUCACCUCCAUGUCUGCGGGGCAGAAGCAGAUGGGGGCUUCAGGAGGGCUGCUCAAGGAGGGGGCGGGCCGAGCACACACCCAAGUCAGGGUUGAGUGGAGGGGUGAGGCUGUUCACGUGGGACCCCCAGGACCGGCCCCUCCCCGCAGGGACCCCUCUCCAGGAGGCAGCCAAGCGGGGGUUCACCGACGCCACGGGAGGGGGUAGCGAAGUCAGGAGGCAGCAGGCCCUGGCAGGGCAGCGGCCGGGCACACUCACCCCCGUACUGGUAGACGGUGUUGGGGUGCGGCUGUGAGUAGAAGCAGGAGCAGAUGAGUGACAGCACCGACAGCUCCUUCAUCUUCUCCUUGUAGGCUGUGGGCGGGAGGCCAGCCUGAGCAGGCGCCGUCCCCUCGCACCUCCAGCCCCACCUCCGCGGAUGCCCAGGCCUCCCUGCCUCUGCCCCCGAUGCGCCUCUCUGGGAGCCUGUUUACCUUGAUCUUUUGUGUCCCACAUCUCUGACUCUCCAUGUCCCUCCCUCCCUCCCAGAUGUUGGCUGUCUUUCCCUGGGCACGCCUCCCUGUGGGUGUCCUGCAUUGGUCUUUCUGUUCCUGUCUCUGAGUCCCUGGCCCCCCUCUCUGUCUGCCUCUGUCUCUCUCUCCCUCCUUUUCUCUCUCUUGGCAUUUCUGUCUGUGUCUCCGUUCAUCCUUCUGUCUUUCUGGCUCUCCAUCUGUCACUACCACUCUUUGUAUCUUUACAUCUCCGUGAUUCUUUGUCACUGUGUAUCUUCCCGACUCUCCCCUCCCUCUGCCCCUCCACGUACUUCUCCGUCCUCCCCUUUCCCUCUCAUGGACACUUGCCCGGUCAGUCGAGAGGUUACUGGGCCAGCACAAAUGUAGAGCUUCUGCAGGCAGCACUUUCUUGGGCUGUGCACUUAAGUGAAGCCCUCAGACCCUCCUGUCUGCCCCCAGCCCACCCCCCGUUUACCCUGUAGUGUGCCCACCGUGGGAUGAAAUCAGGUUCUCACCAGACACGCACUGGCUGCUCAUCAAAAGCCAAAGGGACGGGAGCUGUCCGUUCAGCACCACAGCCCGCCCUCUGGCCUUGCAGGGUGAGCGCCCACAGCCAGUGUCCACACUACCCAACCAGAAAAGGAGAGGGAAGAGGUGGAGGCCCGGACCUCUCCACAGACAUAGCUCCAGCCAGGAAGCGGGGCCUCGAGGCAUGCCCUCCCUUUUCUCUCCUCACCAGGACCUUCUCUUCCUUCCCCAUCACUGACUUCAGAAAGUCAUUAAAAACAAAUCCCUACCAUGAACUGGAUUGCUUUUAUCCCCCCUUCAUAGUAAAUGUUAAACAUGCAAAAAUGCAUAUUGGCCUUUUGGAUGAUUACAUCUCAGAAGAGCAAGAGUUAGAAGGCACCAGAUCAGCCUAGAGCACCUGGUAACAACAAUAAUCGUGCCCAAGGGGGAUGGGGUGGGCACGUCACACCCUUCCUCCAGACUGACUCUCAAGACCAGCCAGCCCAGGCAGACACCCUCAUCAGCCUCAUUUCUACAGAGAAGGAGGUUCAGAGAGGGCAAGUGGCACCCCCAAAGUCACACAGCAUGCCAGGAUGGCAGCCCUGUCACGAGCCCAGGCCUCUGCACUUUCCUGUUGGGAGCCUCAUGGUGGGUGGGGAGGUCUUCCAGAACUAGGAGGGAAGGGGGCCCACAGAUUCCCGCUCACCCCUAGAAGGGCCCUGGAGGCUGCUGCUAACUGCCUCCUAACAGAGGGAGCUUGUUGCCACCCAGGCUGCCCCUCUCUCACUUGUCAGAGUCUCCUCCAUCCGUGUCGGGAGCCCAACAUGGCAGGCGUUGCCAGCAGAAUUCACCUUUCUCUGGGAAAUGUGGCUGCAACAGUCAUGCUGCCUGGCAUGGACUGGGCACUCGCCUCUUGCCAGGCCCCAGGCCAAGCACUGUUUCCUGAAAUAGCUCACUCAACCCUCAGAACAAGCCUAGGGGAGGUGCUGUCACUAUCAUGCCACCCAGAUGGGGAGAUUGAGCCCCUGAGAGGCUAGGUAGCAGGUGCAAGCCCUUGCAGCUCGCCAGAGGCGCAUAAGGGGAUGAACGUGAGCAAGUCUACAAAAGCACCUGAAGAACUGAGCACCUGGGAAGGACACCGAGACGCAGUGUCCUCAGAACGCGGCCCAUCAGGAGGCACUCGAGGGAGAGGCAGGGGCAAAGCUUUGCAAUCCGUGCACAAAGACGAGGCCAAGAGCAAUCCUGCCGCGGCCACAGACCAGAGCAGAGGUGACGCUUCAAGGCCACUGAGGCACGCAAGUCUGCUCCAAUCAAAGAUGUGUUUUCAGAGAGAAGCCAUAGCUGGUUCACUUACACCAAUUUUGGCCACAGUUACCAGCGCUGUCACGUAGCCACUUCUGGGCCAGACCUCUCUCCUAUCAAACUGUUAUGGCCGGGAGAAGCUGCAGGUGAGCACAGGUGUGUGUACACAUGGGCUGCACUCUAUAGAGGGCAGUGCUGAUGACAGAAGAUGAAAGGCCCAGCCCCAUGUGAUGUCAGCUAGGAGCAGUUCUCCAGCUGGCACUGCAGUAUGUCUUUGCUGGCCAUGCUGGACAAAACUGACCAAUUGCACUCAUGGUCUCUUCCUUUCUUUUUUCUUUAAAAAAAUUUUUUUUUUGUUUUGGCUGC